CAGGAGACAGCAUGGCCUGUUUGAAGGGACUGGCCUGAGCCACGACCGACACCUUCAUCGUGCCAGAGGCAUCAGAGAUCUACAAGGCAGAGGGACCAUAUCAGCGACCAGCUCUGUUCUCAAAGUUGUCUUACAGGCUGUUGCAAUGGCAGCAGAGAAGUAAAAGGACAGACUGUGCGCCGGCACUGGAGGAGAACUGGCAGGAUCACUACAAACAUGCAGGGACUGGUCUCUUGUGGCCUCCGGGGGUAUUCCAGAAGCCUGAGCUGGGAUGAGAGCAGACGGCACAGAGAGGGAGCUGUGCAGCUGAGAGGAAUUUCACAAACUGGUCUGACUUACAGAGAAGAAUUUUUCAGCGACUCAUACAGCAGAGGAUGUUUCAGCUCUGAGAUCAGACGCCUCAUCUGAUCUAUAGUCACUUCAAAACCACAGCUGUGGUGACACAAUCACAUGAGUGUAAACUGCUCUAUUAGUCUCACAGUACCUGAAGCUUUUUAACGACAACAAGUUUGUUCUAUAAACUGCUCUGUUGGUUGGUCCACAAAAAUAUCCCCACCCUUUGGUGGUCACUGAAAUUUGGCAAGGAGGUCAAACAUGUGUGAAGUUGUGUCACAGUGCUCAUACCAACAGGAUAGGGGGGGGAGAGUGGGAGUGGGAGUGGCCUAUGUAAAAAAAAGGCGUGCACAGUCCAAAGACAUGCAGGUUAAUUGGUGACUCUAAAUUGCCCGUAGAUGUGAAUGUGAGUGUGAAUGGUUGUCUGUCUCUAUGUGUCAGCCCUGUGAUAGUCUGGUGACCUGUCCAGGGUGUACCCUGCCUCUCACCCAAUGUCAGCUGGGAUAGGCUCCAGCCCCCCAGUGACCCCCAACAGGAUAAGCAGUUAAAGAAAAUGAAUGAAUAUAAUCUAUAUGUUAUACAUGAGCUGAUUAUUAUAAAUGACAGAAUAUGGACCCUGUGCUUCCACUUAUUUGUUACUUGUGUCUAUAUUGAGAGUGAGAGACACAGACAGACAGUGACAGAGUUCUACAUGUGACUAGAAAAGAGCAGAGGAGCAGAACUGUUGCUGACCGGCGUGAAUAAAUGUGCUAUUGAUGUGAACAACCAGGCGACAGUUGAUGGGCGGCUGCGAGACAAUUGUGAUAUU